CUUGCUUCUCUGAUGUUAGCGGCGGACGGGUGAGUAACACGUGGAUAACCUACCUAUAAGACUGGGAUAACUUCGGGAAACCGGAGCUAAUACCGGAUAAUAUUUUGAACCGCAUGGUUCAAAAGUGAAAGACGGUCUUGCUGUCACUUAUAGAUGGAUCCGCGCUGCAUUAGUUAGUUGGUAAGGUAACGGCUUACCAAGGCAACGAUGCAUAGCCGACCUGAGAGGGUGAUCGGCCACACUGGAACUGAGACACGGUCCAGACUCCUACGGGAGGCAGCAGUAGGGAAUCUUCCGCAAUGGGCGAAAGCCUGACGGAGCAACGCCGCGCGAGUGAUGAAGGUCUUCGGAUCGUAAAACUCUGUUAUUAGGGAAGAACAUAUGUGUAAGUAACUGUGCACAUCUUGACGGUACCUAAUCAGAAAGCCACGGCUAACUACGUGCCAGCAGCCGCGGUAAUACGUAGGUGGCAAGCGUUAUCCGGAAUUAUUGGGCGUAAAGCGCGCGUAGGCGGUUUUUUAAGUCUGAUGUGAAAGCCCACGGCUCAACCGUGGAGGGUCAUUGGAAACUGGAAAACUUGAGUGCAGAAGAGGAAAGUGGAAUUCCAUGUGUAGCGGUGAAAUGCGCAGAGAUAUGGAGGAACACCAGUGGCGAAGGCGACUUUCUGGUCUGUAACUGACGCUGAUGUGCGAAAGCGUGGGGAUCAAACAGGAUUAGAUACCCUGGUAGUCCACGCCGUAAACGAUGAGUGCUAAGUGUUAGGGGGUUUCCGCCCCUUAGU
rnacentral:rRNA from 1 species